GCCUUCGUGGUGUAAUGGUCAGCACAUUCGGAGCAUAGUCUAGAGGUCCGAGGUUCGAGUCUUGGCGAGGGCA
rnacentral:tRNA from 1 species